rnacentral:lncRNA from 1 species
GGAGGGGAGCAUCCAGCCAUGUUUGAUGCCCCCCUGAAAGUCAGUGGCUGCAAAUUCCCCCUGCCUUGCACCCAAGGUAUUGGAAGUCACGCUCCUGGGCUCCCACAUCUCAAAGGGCAACACGUGGACCCUGUUUAUGUGCUUAUCUUAACUUAAGCAGGUAUUUGCUCUGGGGGAUUACUCUGGCAAGACCUGUCUGUCCUCCUCUAAACCUGGACAGCACCACUCUUGGCUCUCAGAAGAGGUUGUUCAUACCACACUAUGUUUUACAGUUUUACAAGGAGCCUGCUGAUGACCUGAAGGGUAAUUGCAAUAAAAAAGACAGGAUAUUUGGGCCAGGUCUGCUACUGAGGAAGGGGAGACCACCCCUGGUGGCACCAUGGCACAGUGGCAUAGCCUGGUGGUAG